CCAGGGCUCGAACCCAUGUCCCCUGCAUUGGUAGGUGGAUUCCGGACCACUGUGCCACCAGGGAAGUCCCGUGUGGGGGACUUUGAAUGAUGCCUGGUCCCUGAUGAGUCACUGUCUGGUGUCACAUACAGCCCCAGACACAAGGAGACCUGGCAUGGAGGGGCAGAAAGCAUAAAUUUGGAGCAGAGCGAGGCCUAGAUUUCAGACCUUUCCACUCACUAGUUGUGUGGCCCUGGGCUGGUCUCUUGGCCUCUCUUAGCCUCUGAUUCUAGAAGGGAAUAGCAGUUGUUUCAUCCUUACUGGCAGGCUGUGAGAUCAGAUGUCAGUCUUACCCCAGGCCCUCCCACUCCCCUUGCUGGUCAAAUGCCACUUCUUAACCAAGCACGCCACCCCCCAGGCCUUGGGUGUGGCAUUAUUCCUCAGUCUCCCACACCACCACAGUCCCUGGGGCUACAGGAAGCCUUCUGGGAGUGCCCCAGUCCCUCUAAAGGGGUUGGAGCCAAUCCAGGGCCUGUGCAGUGAGGGGACCAAAUGGGAGGCUGGGGUAGGGAGUGCAAGGACCCUCCCAUACCUGCUUCACCACCGUGUUCCCCCCAUUCUCUGAUGGGAUAUUUGCAACUCCCUCCCCUUUCUCUAAGCUCAGGCCCUGCUUGUCUGUUCCACAACAAGGAGUGAAUGUUAUUUAAAAGGAGAUCAGGAGAUUUGCCUUAAAUAGGCAUGGAGUGCAGUGCCAGGGCCCAGGGUGCAGGGCGGGGGAGGAGGCCACCCUGGGUGUUGGAGAGAAAGGACUGGAGCUGAACAGAGAGAACACCCUCCCUAAGGGUGUGCACAGCCCUUCACAGUUUACCCAGAUUAGUCCUGGGCUGUGGUGGAUCGGUUACACGGGGCUUAUUCCCACCCUACCCCCAUUCUGAGGAUGAGGAAACUGAGGCCUAGCUUAGGGACCUGACGGGUGGGCUGGUUGCCAGGUGGCAUCUGAGGAGGAUGCCAUGGUCUUCCUGCUUCAGUCCCCAGGAGCUGGGGCCUCCUGCAGCAGGGAGGAGGCCCCUGCAGGGUUGGGGGGUAGGUCUUGAGCCCUCCCCCGGACACCUUACCCCCACCACCAGGUCCCAGGCCUUUGGCUCCUGCCCCCGGGUUGCCCCUGCUUGCCCUCCCAGCCCCAGCUUGUAACUGGACGCCCUCCUCACUCGACACCUUCCCAGGUGAGCUGGGGCUUUGCUUACUGAACCCAACACCAGCUGGGGGAGGGGAGUGAGGGGGCACCCCUGGGGCGGGCAUCUGCCGGGAGGCUGCGAGGCUGCAGGAGGGGGCUGGAGGUGGUGGGAGUCCGAGGAGUGGAAGGUGGGCUGACUAUCAGCUUCCUCCCCGCAGGGCUAGUCUGGCACCCGGUUCACUGCCCCCUUCAGGGUCUCCUACCAAGCCCCUCCCCUUCCAUCUCAUCCUCUCCCGGCCAUUUAUGUCUCAGCAGGUGAUGCUCUUGGAAUCCUAAGGAAAUGGAGCCUUGAGUGUGGGGUUUCAGGAACAAAGCUAGGGAAAGGAAGCAGCACCGGCUUCCUCCUUUUUGCAAAGGUCCUGAACACCCAGGGGCCUUCAGGAGAGCAUCCUCACCUUGAGAGAGGAUUGCUAAGGACAGGAUUUUCUGGUGCCCAGAUGGUCUCAUGAGGAAGACAUCUUUAAGCAGGGUGCCCUUUGGAACCUGAGAAAAGGAUCCCACCCUCACCAUUGUGGAAGGAAGGAGGAUGCUCACAGUAGAGGCUAUGCUACAGAAGACAACUGAGUGCGGGCCCACCUGCCCAGCCGCACAGCUUGCAGCAGAGAGAUGAAGGUCUUGUCUGUCUGCCUCCACACCUCCGUCAGCUCCAGGGUCACUGGGACACAUCUCCUCCAGCUCUUGGCCUGGUGGGGGCAAGAUGGGGCGUCAGGGAGCAGAGCAGACCCCUAUGGGGGUCAGGGCCAGAGGGUGAGUGCUACCUGGAAGCAGAACUGCGGGGGCUGGGAUCCCUUGGUUACAGGCGGCAGCUGCAGGAAGUCCCCACAGAUGAUGAGCUGGAUCCCUCCAAAUGGCUUGUUCUGCUG